rnacentral:lncRNA from 1 species
UGGAGUGUCGCGAUGGGGGUGCCCUUGAAGAUAGGUGACUCGCCGAAGAAAAGUAUGAAUAUGAAGAAGGCCGUAGCCGAAAGGUAGAUAAGUGCAAGCGUAAAUAGGUCCAUUUUUUGGUUUGGCAAGUUGCCUCGGAAGUGAAUGCCGGAAUCGCCCGUCGCAGCCCUUGCCAAUCGUUAAUCCCUUUCCACCAUCUAGCUUCAACAUGAUUUGUGCUAUGGACAGAC